GACGUAGGGCGCGAGCGUUGUCCGGAUUUAUUGGGCGUAAGGGCUUGUUGGGGGGUUGUUGGGGUAACUGGGAAAACCCGUGGCUCAACCAUGUGGUCUGCAGUCGAUACGGGCAGGCUAGAAUUCGGUAGGGGAGACUGGAAUUCCUGGUGUAGCGGUGAAAUGCGCAGAUAUCAGGAGGAACACCGGUGGCGAAGGCGGGUCUCUGGGCCGAUACUGACGCUGAGGAGCGAAAGCUAGGGGAGCAAACAGG
rnacentral:rRNA from 1 species